GAUGAACGCUGGCGGCGUGCUUAACACAUGCAAGUCGAACGGAAAGGCUCCUGCUUGCAGGGGUACUUGAGUGGCGAACGGGUGAGUAACACGUGGGUGAUCUGCCCUGCACUUCGGGAUAAGCCUGGGAAACUGGGUCUAAUACCGGAUAGGAAGAGGUAUUGGAUGCUAACGGGGAAAAAUAUGCGGCGGGGGCAGUGCCAGCGGCCCAUCAGUUGGUUGGGGGGGUAAUGGCGUACAACGGCGUCGACGGGUAGCCGGCCUGAGAGUGUGGACGGGCACAGUGGGACUGGGGUGCGAGCCGUACUCCUACUGGGGGAAUGGAUGGAAGACAGUGCAAGAAGGGCGGAGGGCGUAAGCAACGACGCCGGGUGGUGGAGGACGGCCUUCGGGUUGGAAACACUGUUCGCUAGGGACGAAGCGCAAGUGACGGUACCUGGAGAGGAAGCACCGGCUAACUACGUG
rnacentral:rRNA from 1 species